AUGUUCAAAAUCAAAUUAAAUAGAUAACAAAGUGAAGAAAAUGUUUACAAGAAUCAAUGAAAUUUAUUUAAAAAAUAUUGUCAAAAUUAUUGCUAAAUAUAUGAUCAAAUUCAUUACCAAAAUAACAUUACCCAUCGAACACCCCUAACAACUUCCCAAAUUACAUUCAUCAAAUGAAUGGUAUACUCCGUCGCUCUUUCUAAUUCAUUCGGCCAUUCUAAAUCCAUGAUCAAAAGUUUAGUGCCGUCUGCUCCAAUAUCGACCAUUUUGAGAUUCGCUUAGCAAAAUGCGACACUUCUUCGGGCCCUAUCCAUUUUCCCGCUGAUAGACAUAGGAGUUUUGCAGCUUUGUCCAAUUCUCUUCCAAAGGGAAUUUCAAAUUGUUAACCUAGUAAAUGUAGUGGUGAAAGUGGUAUACUGAAUGUGCCUUCACAAUCCAUAUAAAUCGUCAACCUGAAGCCUGUGUUUUCCUCCAUACAAAGGUUUACACUUGCUGGGAACCUAGGCGGCAAAAAGCGUGAUGCCAUAUGUUUGGCCUUCAAGCAUUCUGUUCGUCUGUGCAUUUCACGUUUCAAUAAAAAACAUAUAGCGGCCGGAUGUUAUUGGCAUUUUCAAAAAUUGACAAAUUGUUAUCUCGAAAAAAAUUUCCCAUC
rnacentral:lncRNA from 1 species